AGUGAACGCUGUCGGUAGGCCUAACACAUGCAAGUCGAACGGCAUCACAGUAAGAGUUUGCUCUUAUGGGUGGCGAGUGGCGGCCGGUUGAGGAAUACAUCGCACUCUACUUUUUCUUGGAGUAUAACGUAGGGCAACUUACGCUAAUACCUCAUACGUCCUACGGGUGAAAGCAGGGGAUCUUCGCACCUUGCGCGAUUGAAUGAGCCGAUGUCGGAUUAGCUAGUUGGCGGGGUAAAGGCCCACCAAGGCGACGAUCCGUAGCUGGUCUGAGAGGAUGAUCAGCCACACGGGAACUGAGACAAGGUCCAGACUACUACGGGAGGCAGCAGUGGGGAAUAUUGGACAAUGGGCGCAAGCCUGAUCCAGCCAUACCGAGUAGGUGAAGAAGGCCUUCGGGUUGUAAAGCCCUUUUGUUGGGAAAGAAAAGCAGUAGGCUAAUACCCCGCUGUUCUGACGGUACCCAAAGAAUAAGCACCGGCUAACUUCGUG
rnacentral:rRNA from 1 species